rnacentral:sRNA from 1 species
AUAUACCCACUUUCAAUAAAAUAGUUAUGAUUUUUGAUAAUUAAAAAGGUAAAUUUCCCAGGUUGACGUGCAACUGUAUCCAAUACUUUUUAUUUACUUUCAAUUGGCUUUUUAGUAGGCACACACAAGUAACAAGUUUCAUUAUUCACACAUACAUAUCACUGUACCUUGCUCAUGGGCACCCAUUUCCUCCCGCUCCCUCAACUGGUCCUUUCCCUUUGUCUUCUCUAAACAGACGUCUAGAUUCUGCGUCAGAGGAUGUGCUUUACUUGGUUUUCUUCCUCUUUGUGGUUUCAGUAAGGACUAUCCUCCACAGGCGCCUGUGUCUGGAUACCUGGUCACCAGAUGGUGAUGCUGUUCUCAGAGGCAGUGGAAACUUUAGGAGGCAAGGCCGUGCUGGAGGAAGUGAGUCACUGUGGAUAAGCUAUGAAAUUUGAGUCUGCUCCUACUUUCUGCUUAAAAUCUGCUUCCUGACUAUGGCUGCAAUGUGCCUGGCUGCCUCAUGCUUCUGAGGCUGUGCUUCCUCCUCUGCUGUGAUCAGAUGCAGCCCCUUAAACGGAUUCCCUAAGAAGCAAUUGAAAUUGGACCAGUGACUCCACUUGGCCUUAUUCAAAAGACUGAGAAGGAAAAGGCUGGCAAGCAAGAAUAUUAAGUCAAUUAAUAAUUCUUCAGUGGUUUCUACAAAUCCAAGAGAAAGCAAUAAAUAUGUAUGUCUCACUUUAAA